CAUGCCGUAAACGAUGAGUGCUAGGUGUUGGGGGUCAAACCUCGGUGCCGCAGCUAACGCAUUAAGCACUCCGCCUGGGGAGUACGUACGCAAGUAUGAAACUCAAAGGAAUUGACGGGGACCCGCACAAGCAGCGGAGCAUGUGGUUUAAUUCGAAGCAACGCGAAGAACCUUACCAGGUCUUGACAUGCCUCUGACCGGUAUAGAGAUAUACCUUUCCCUUCGGGGACAGAGGACACAGGUGG
rnacentral:rRNA from 1 species